rnacentral:lncRNA from 1 species
GUUUGCAAGUUCGAAGCCAUAGCAGAAGCGUUCACAGCGCGGCCUGUCAGAUUCCAGUGAGUCCGAAUUCUGCU